UACGGGAGGCAGCAGUGGGGAAUAUUGGACAAUGGGGGGAACCCUGAUCCAGCCAUGCCGCGUGUGUGAAGAAGGCCUUAUGGUUGUAAAGCACUUUAAGCGAGGAGGAGGCUACUGAGACUAAUACUCUUGGAUAGUGGACGUUACUCGCAGAAUAAGCACCGGCUAACUCUGUGCCAGCAGCCGCGGUAAUACAGAGGGUGCGAGCGUUAAUCGGAUUUACUGGGCGUAAAGCGUGCGUAGGCGGCUUUUUUAAGUCGGAUGUGAAAUCCCCGAGCUUAACUUGGGAAUUGCAUUCGAUACUGGGAAGCUAGAGUAUGGGAGAGGAUGGUAGAAUUCCAGGUGUAGCGGUGAAAUGCGUAGAGAUCUGGAGGAAUACCGAUGGCGAAGGGCAGCCAUCUGGGCCUAAUACUGACGCUGAGGUCGAAAGCAUGGGGA
rnacentral:rRNA from 1 species